rnacentral:rRNA from 1 species
AAUGAAUUGACGGGGACCCGCACAAGUAGUGGAGCAUGUGGUUUAAUUCGAAGAUACGCGCAGAACCUUACCAACACUUGACAUGUUCGUCGCGACUCUAAGAGAUUAGAGUUUUCGGUUCGGCCGGACGAAACACAGGUGCUGCAUGGCUGUCGUCAGCUCGUGUCGUGAGAUGUUGGGUUAAGUCCCGCAACGAGCGCAACCCUCACUUUUAGUUGCCAUCAUUAAGUUGGGCACUCUGAAAGAACUGCCAGUGAUAAGCUGGAGGAAGGUGGGGAUGACGUCAAGUCCUCAUGGCCCUUACGUGUUGGGCUACACACGUGCUACAAUGGUAUCUACAACAGGAAGCAAGACUGCGAGGUCAAGCAAAUCCUCAAAAGAUACCUCAGUUCGGAUUGCACUCUGCAACUCGAGUGCAUGAAGCUGGAAUUACUAGUAAUCGUGGAUCAGCGUGCCACGGUGAAUGCGUUCCCGGGUCUUGUACACACCGCCCGUCACACCAUGGGAGUUGGUUCUACCUUAAGGCAAGGUUUAAAACCCUUGACCACGGUAUAGUCAGCGACUGGGGUGAAGUCGUAACAAGGUAACCAAGGGCGA